rnacentral:rRNA from 1 species
GAUGAACGCUGGCGGCGUGCCUAAUACAUGCAAGUCGAGCGAACAGACGAGGAGCUUGCUACUCUGAUGUUAGCGGCGGACGGGUGAGUAACACGUGGAUAACAUAACUAUAAGACUAGGAUAACUACGUGAAACCGGAGCUAAUACCGGAUAAUAUAUUCAACCGCAUGGUUCAAUAGUGAAAGAGGGUUUUGCUGGCACCUAUACCUGGAUCCGCGCUGUAUUAGCAAGUUGGUAAGGUAACGGCUUACCAAGGCGGCGAUGGGUAGCCGACCUGCGAGGGUGAACCGCCACACUGGGACUGAGAGACGGUCCAGACUCCGACGGGCGGCAGCAGUAGGGAAUCGUCCGCGCUGUGCGAAAGCCUGACCGAUCAACGCCGCGUGGGUGAUGAAGGGCUUCGUAUCGUAAGACUCUGUUAUUAGGGAAGACCACAUGUGUAAGUAACUAUGCACGUCUUGACGGUACCUACUCAGAAAGCCACGGCUAACUACGUG